rnacentral:piRNA from 1 species
UCUCAUUUUACCAGUUAUUUA